rnacentral:lncRNA from 1 species
CCAUCGUCUCUUUAAUAUGGCAAAGGUAACAUCGCCUUUUUCGCAACAGCUUGCGACAGAUCAUAUGAAUGCCCCGUAACUGCCCACUGCACAAGAAAAAAAAUUCACAAAACAUCAACACUAACGCAGGAAAAAUGGCAUACUAUUGACCCACAGACUGAUGGGGCAAACAAAACUGAACUGCAGAGAGUUGAACUGGUAAUACCACCACGCCGCAUUUGAUUUCGUUUAGCACUGACGGCAUUGGCAUGGCAUGGCCUUGCCUGACAACUAAGCGACCUAACUGCAUCCAGUUCGGAGAGAAGAGAACACGAUCCCCUAAUUUCUAGACGAGGACGGGCACACGAGCGGACCAGCUCGCGGCGAAG